CUCGGGGACACCACUUGUCCCAUCCCGCGCCGAUCUAGACGAAGAUCGCCUACGCGGUGCCGUCGCUUCCUGAAACACGACAACUCAGUUAGCCCUCGACCCUCUGGGUCGACUACGAAAUAAUUAAUACCAACUCAAAUCGGGCGAAAGUCAUGCAAGGAAGCAUAUUCCCAUCCCUCGGUUUCAUGUUGUGUCGACCCAAUAUGAACUCACUUGGCUGAGAAUAAACUGAACCUUGAAUCUACCUCAAAUAUCUGUCUUAAAGGUUUACUAAACUCGACCCAAUCGAUUUAUCUUUCGCCAUACGUCACAAGUCCUCGUCUCUCACGAGCGUAAGUCCUUACGGUUUACUAUCCUAGGUCUCCUAGGUCUAUCUAAACCGUUUCUAUUACUCUUUUUAUGCACUUUUAUGCUCUGAUACCAUUUAAUCUGUUACGCCCCGAGCUCCGCCUAUUUGGUCGGAUUCGGGUACGCCGACAGACCGCCGAACGGACAGAGCCUCCCCUGUACGUUCUAGGCGUCACAAUCUAUACAAUGCAAUACAAGAGGUUCCAAACAGGAACUGUAUUCAACCACAGAUUGCAUAAGUAUCAAAAACAUAAAAUGCUAACUAUGCUAUUACAAGCAUUCAUCUCAGAAUUUUUACUUUUACAAUAUUACAUAAGCCUUUAAAUUAUUACAACUUAUACACUUUUACUACAAUUUUGUUUCAUUCAUACUGAUACGCUGAGCUUGACCUCUUCAGGGUAUUGCUAUCUCGGUCUCAGUGGUGGGGCGCUAUCUACGAAGCUACGCCCUGUCCUCGCGCCGCCGCGCCGCUCGCGUGCAACCUGUACCCCCAAAACAACACGGGGGUGAGAACUAUAUAAAUAUAGUUCCCAGUGGGUACGGCCACCCAAGAGAAGAGCUCGACCCACCAGGUCCAAAGGAGGCAACAGUAGGUUAGUUCAACAAAUAGAUAGAUAGAUAUUUGACUAUGCAACAAAUAAAACCAUACCUUGCCUCGCUGCUAUGCAAUAUGCAAUACCUGUAAAUCAUGUAAGUAGAUUACUUGAUUCUACUUUAUAUCAUUAACCGUUCUUUACUUGUAGCCGUUCUUUUCUUUCUUAGCUAGUUUCAUUCAUUAGCUAUUUUCUUUAUUCUUUACUCUUUGUCAAAUUAUGCUCACUGGCGAUUCUUUCCUAAGGUUAUUUUACCUUAGCCAUCUAUGCCACUCGACUCGGUCUUGAGUCAAUCAUCCGCGGAGUACCGCGUCAAGUCAGGCUCGAGGUGAAGGACGUCUCACAAGCACCUCAGCCUUAAGUCCACGCGACACUAGGUCCAUCACAGGGAGAGGAGAACCGUCGAUCCCUGUGACCCUAAGUCGCUCAAGCUUAACGGGCGAGGAGAACCGUCAAACCCGUUAGCUCAUACCGGGAGAGGAGAACCGUCGAUCCCGUUGAAUCACUACCGGGAGAGGAGAACCGUCGAUCCCGUAGUUAUGAUUCUAUUCUUGCCAUCAACACCAUUCCUAGGGAUUCCGGAAUCCAUUUUCACAACUUAAGGGUUUUUACUCUUUUACCCUAUGUUGACGACCUUUCUAGGUCUAUACUAUUCACUUUCUAGUGGUCCUAUUACCACUAUAAUUCAUAACUUAGUUUACUUUUACUGAGUGUUUCUUUACAUCAUAACCUAGGUUUAUUUACACUAGGUUUAAUAUUCUUUCUCCUAGAUCUCAACUCUAGGUUUACUUGCUUGACCUAUGUCCAAUGACACUAGGUUAAUGUCCGACCUAUGUUCAAUAACACUA
rnacentral:lncRNA from 1 species